ACCCUCCCAGUGUUUACCACAGGCUGUGUUCUUACACAGAUUCUGCAGAAAAUGGAGACGAAGUAAACAUCUCAGCCCAGGCCUUGUGCCUGGUCUAUAUUGUGAAUGGGGAGACAUGG
rnacentral:snoRNA from 1 species